rnacentral:rRNA from 1 species
GAUGAACGCUGGCGGCGUGCCUAAUACAUGCAAGUCGAGCGAACGGACGAGAAGCUUGCUCCUCUGAGGUUAGCGGCGGACGGGUGAGUAACACGUGGAUAACCUACCUAUAAGACUGGGAUAACUUCGGGAAACCGGAGCUAAUACCGGAUAAUAUUUUGAACCGCAUGGUUCAAAAGUGAAAGACGGUUUUGCUGUCACUUAUAGAUGGAUCCGCGCUGCAUUAGCUAGUUGGUAAGGUAACGGCUUACCAAGGCAACGAUACGUAGCCGACCUGAGAGGGUGAUCGGCCACACUGGAACUGAGACACGGUCCAGACUCCUACGGGAGGCAGCAGUAGGGAAUCUUCCGCAAUGGGCGAAAGCCUGACGGAGCAACGCCGCGUGAGUGAUGAAGGUCUUCGGAUCGUAAAACUCUGUUAUUAGGGAAGAACAUAUGUGUAAGUAACUGUGCACGUCUUGACGGUACCUAAUCAGAAAGCCACGGCUAACUACGUG